AUUGAACGCUGGCGGCGGGCUUAACACAUGCAAGUCGAGCGGAGCGAGGGUGCUUGCACCUUAGCUUAGCGGCGGACGGGUGAGUAAUGCUUAGGAACCUGCCUAUUAGUGGGGGACAACAUUCCGAAAGGAAUGCUAAUACCGCAUACGCCCUACGGGGGAAAGCAGGGGAUCUUCGGACCUUGCGCUAAUAGAUGAGCCUAAGUCGGAUUAGCUAGUUGGUGGGGUAAAGGCCUACCAAGGCGACGAUCUGUAGCGGGUCUGAGAGGAUGAUCCGCCACACUGGGACUGGGACACGGCCCAGACUCUUACGGGAGGCAGCAGUGGGGAAUAUUGGACAAUGGGCGGAAGCCUGAUCCAGCCAUGCCGCGUGUGUGAAGAAGGCCUUUUGGUUGUAAAGCACUUUAAGCGAGGAGGAGGCUACUUAGAUUAAUACUCUGGGAUAGUGGACGUUACUCGCAGAAUAAGCACCGGCUAACUCUGUGCCAGCCGCCGCCGCGGUAA
rnacentral:rRNA from 1 species